GAAGCUUAAGAAACUAAUGGAUUCUUACUUCAGGUGUGUCAUUCGUUGUUGUGUACCUAAGAAAUUUUUGGUCUAUGGUGCUGCUUUUGGUGCUAACUCGAGGUGGGAACUGAACGUGAAAAUUGAUUUUAAUUGGAAGAAACUUCUACACAAAAAGGUAACUAGGUUGGUGGUCAAUUGAUGAAGGGAGUCGAGAGGAGCAAGUUCAGCUAUAUUGUGCAUUGGGAUCUAGGCAAUGCAUCACAUUAAACACAUGGACUGGACGAGGUUGGACUGUUUGAUGAAGUGAAAGAACGUUAUCGUGGAAGUCAUAUUUGUUGUCGCUUAACAAUUUAUGAAGUGGAAUUUAUUAUGAAAUAAAUAUAGUAAUCUUUCUUAUUAUUUGGAAUGAUUGAUUUAUUAUUGUAUUGAGUAUGAUAGAUUGAAAUUAUAAUAUUCACAUUUGAUUGAUAAUAUGUAAAUUUGCAAUCUUUAAUUUUAUUUUAAUU